rnacentral:rRNA from 1 species
UACGUAGGUGGCAAGCGUUGUCCGGAAUUACUGGGUGUAAAGGGCGUGUAGGCGGGACUGCAAGUCAGAUGUGAAAACUAUGGGCUCAACUCAUAGCCUGCAUUUGAAACUGUUUUUCUUGAGUGAAGUAGAGGCAGGCGGAAUUCCGAGUGUAGCGGUGAAAUGCGUAGAUAUUCGGAGGAACACCAGUGGCGAAGGCGGCCUGCUGGACUGUAACUGACACUGAGGCUCGAAAGCGUGGGGAGCAA